CUUGAGGGAGGAGGGGGCGGGGAGAAGGCGGAGCAGGGACGUGGCUCGGGGUAGGGGAGGGUUGGGGCUGGAGGUUGCGGAUGCUGCUGCAGCCUUGGAGUUCCCCAGGGGCUGAUGGCUUGGAGAUGGGUUGGAUCACCCCGCUUCAUAGCAGCAGGUGCCAUGAGACACCCUCCCCCACGCCCCUAUAGAUGCUACACAAGUUGCAGCAUUGAAUAUGUUGGGAGUGAGGGGAGUCCAGAACUACUAAGGUUUUGAACUUAGGUAACUGGAAGGAUGGUGGCGCCUCAAUAAAAAUAGGGGAGUGAGAAAGAGAAGGCAAUUUGGGGGAAACUAAGAGUUCUGAUAUGGGCUUGUUGAACCCGAAAGGCUUGUGGGUUCCAAAGGGGUCAGUAGGCAGUUGGAGAUGCAGGACUGGUGCUUCAGAGAGAAAAGGUGUAGUCAAAGGCACAGAGAGAUGGUAGUUAGUUGAACUCAAUCAUAACUGAAAAAGUGCCCAGUUUAGAAUGUAUAGAAAGAGAAGCUCCAGUUUUCUUCUCUUCCUUCACUUCUUCUGCCGCCUCCUCCUCCAUUUUCUCUUCCUCUUCCUUUUAUCCUUUCUUUUUCUUCUUUUUCAUAUCUCAAUGAUGAAUACCUGGCCAGAUUUCCCUUCUAUUUGUAAAGUUGCUUGCUUUGGAGCUCAAAUGUAAUACUUUCUAUUUUAUACUAUGACAUUUCCUUGUAGCACUUUUGACUUAUGUUCUAUUUUGUAAUACAUGCUAGUAACUGAGUCUUGUGGAGAAUGACUGACAGAUUAAGCUAUGUUGAGACCCACAGCCACCGAGAAGCACAGCAGGGCUCCAUCCCUUCAAGCUCCCAGACCAUGGGUUUGAGAAGGGCAAAGGCAGAUGUCAUUAUUCCUUGCCAAGUAGCUCAGCUAUUUCAUAAUAAGAGAAGCCCUCUACAAUCUCCCUCUUCAUGUUCUUUCUCCUUUUUCAAAUCAGCAUGUGAUGAACGUUCUGCCAUGUCUUCACCUAUCCAUUUCUCAAAUCAUGCAAUACUUUGCCUCAGAAGAUGAGCAAAAAACUUCAAAUAAUGGAAUUCUCUGCAAAUCCAUAUCUUUCCUCAUCUAAAGUAGAUGUUAUAUUAUUUACCUCAUUAGUAAAUUUUCCCUUUGUAAAAAAAAAUUGAUAUCAACAAGUUAUUAUUUGAGAGUACAUCAAUGUUUCCAUGACAGUAAUAGGCUCUUCCCCCUCAAAAAAUACUCUCACAGGAUUUACCCUAGAAUCUUGAGAGGAGGAGUAGUCAGCUAUCCUCUGGGCACAGAGCCUGCCAGUGAAAAGGAGAUUUGGGAUGGUGGAGGAAAAACUGGUUCAGAGAGAUUAUAUGAUCUGCUUAAGGUUGAAUUCAUUUGUCAAAUGCAAAGAGUGGACUAUAUGGUCCUUUUCAGCUCUAACUCUACACUCCUGAAAUAUUAAACCCCAUCAGUAGAAGCAUAGGAUCCAGCAUGAGAGACAUCUUAUUGUACCUUGCCCUGAUCAAGCUAAUUUGGAAGGAAACAGCAUCUGGAACAUGUCCAAAGGAAGGAGAAUAGGAUUUUGAGGGUCUUGGGAACCAUGCCAUAAGAAGAUCAGUGGAAAGAACUGGGAAUGUUUAGCCCAGAGAAGUGAAGACUUAGGGAAGAAAUAAUCUGUUUUUGUUUUUUUUUUUGAUUUGUUUUCAUGUAGAAGAGGGAUUAUAUUCAUUCUGUUCAGUCCCAGAUGAGAGAAUUAUGGCCAAUGAGUAGAAGCUAUGGGGCAAAAGUUUUAGUUCAAUAUAAAGAAUUUCCAACAAUUAGGAAUGUCUCAUAAUAGAAUAGGCUUAUCUCAGAAGUAGAAAUUAGCCCCUGUCUAAAUGAAUACAUAUACAGGGAAUUAAGGUUUCUGAUGAGGCUUUAGUUUGGAUGAUUUCAGAAGUCCAAUCAUGUGCUAUGAUUGUGAGGGAAUUUGAUUCCUGGAGUAUUAGGGAGAGAGGAUAUAGAGUUGAGAAAGCCCACAAACAUAAAAAAAUGCAACUUUGACAAGUCACUUUAACUUCACUGUACCUUAAUAUCUUCAUCUAUAAAAUGAGGGGAUUGGACUAGCUGAUUUCUAAAGUCUCUUCCUAUUCUGGAUCAAUGAUCUACGAUCUCAUGAAAUUCUGUUCAAUAUUUGUGUUUUCCCUCCCCAUUCAUUUUCUAAAGACCAAGGACAACUAUCAUUCAAUGUUCCAUCUCUCCCUCUUCACCUUCCUAGACUAGAAUGUCAAGAUCAGAAUGAAUGGGAAAAAACUAGCCAGUCACAAUGAGUUGCUUUUGAAAUUAUGCAUUUAUAGGGAGAGGCAAUGUACAAUGACAUUUUUUGCCUUGCGUAAUUUCAAACACACUUGACUUAGAAAUUUAUGGUUAUUAGACUAGAGUUAAGAGGACAUUGAGAUAGCAGAUCCAGUAACAGAAAUAUGGACUAUGGAAAAACAAACAAACAAACAAACAAACAAAAAAAACCCAUGGGCUGAUGAUGAAGUUGGUUCAGGAUAUGUUGAAUUUGAGGUACUUAAUGGAUAAAAUGAGGUUUCAUGCAGUUAGGUGGGGCAGUAGAUAAGAGUAUCAGGUCUGGAAUCAAGAUUACCUAAAUUCAAAUCCAGCCUGAUGUUUACUAGUUGUGUACCCUUAAGAGUCAUUUUAAACCCCCCAAAUGCCUCAAUUUAUCUGUUUCCUCAACUGUAAAAUGGGGUUAGUAGUAGUACUUGCCUCCCAGAGUUUUUGUGAGGAGAUAAUAUUGGUAAAGCACUCCACAUAAUGCCUUGAAUGUCAUAGGCACUGUAUAAAUGCUAGCUAUUAUUAGCCAUUAAGUGUCUGUCAGACAUUUAGAAAUUUGAGACUGGAGCUCAACAGGGAAGGGAGAGCUGGCUGAGUAGAUUAUAAAUUAUUUGAACAGAAACGUUGACUAGAAACUUGAUGAGACUGCCUAGUCCAAGAGAAUAGACCCAAAUUGGAAGUCUUAGAGGAUGUCAACAGUUAGAGGUUAGAAGAAGGCCUCUUUGGGUCUCAGUUUCCUUAUUUGUGAAAUGAGGUUUGGAGUAAAUGAUCCAUACUAUUUCUUCUAGCUCUAAAUUUCUAUGAUUCUGAAUAUAAGAAGACCUAGCAAGCAGAGAGAGACAAGGAGUGUCUAGAGGAGAAGGAGAAGCAAAAUCCUGGGAAUAAGAGUUUAAACUCAUAGAAUCUAAGGAUUUCAAGAAGGAAGAUUGAGAAGGAUUGGGUACCAUCUUUAUCUCCUUCCCCUUAAGUUCAACUGGUUUAUGUGGCAGUCCUAAUAAUUAUCUCUCUGUCAUAUCUUUUCAAAUUCAUCCAACUUUUUUGUUCUUACUAGCACUAGUACUUACUUAUAUACUGGAGAACUGGAAUAUUGCAAAUGUUUCCCAAAUGGUUUUUCUGCUUUUAGUUUUCCAUUCUAUAAUCUAGCUUACAUACCACUAUCCAGUGUUCAAAUAAUUCUCUUUUGGACCUUUUCCCUCUCUAUUUUUUUCAAUUAAACAAAUUAUUUGAAUGUUUACAUUUGACAUUUGUAUUCAUCCUACAUCUUUUUCCAUCAUAUGUAAAGCAUACUUAAAGAAUCAUAAAAUCUUAGGGGGGGAGGGUAAAGGAUUUAAAAGUUUUUACUCCAAUUAAAAAAUUUUAAAUAUAUUUUUUUCACUUAAAAAUCCACUUUCUCUCUCUCCCAUCUUUCCCCUACCCUUGUUGGAAAAGAAAUAAAAACAAAACCAUUAAGAUAAAUAUAGUCAAGCAAAAUAAAUUUCCACACUGGUCAUAUUUUUUGGAUAUGUCUCAAUUUAUAUUCUAAAUCCAUCACCUUUUUAUCAGAUGGGGGAUAGCAUAUUUCAACAUGAAUCCUCUGGAAUUGUGGAUGGUCAUUACAUUAAUCAGUAUUCUUAAGUCUUUUAGUAUUGUUUGUUUUUACAGUGUUCUUAUUGUAUAAAUUGUUCUCUUGAUUCUCACUUCACUCUGCAUCAGUUCAAAGUUUUUUCAGAUCUUUCUAAAACUGUCCCCUUUGUCAAUUCUUGAAGCACAAUAGUAUUCCAUCAAGUGCAGUGGCUCAGUGGAUGGAGUGCUAGGCCUGAAGUCAGGAAGACUUGAUUUUAAAUUAGGCCUCAGACACUUUCUAGCUGUGUGGAUCAUUUACCUUCUAUUAGAUUCAGUCUCUUCAAUAAAAUGAGAUAAUCUUCCUGCACCUACCUCCAGGAUUGCUAUAAGAAUCAAAUGAGAUUAUAUUUGUAAAGCAAUUAUUGUGCCAUGCACCUAGUAGACACAUAAUAAAUGCUUGUUUUCUUCCAUUAACUCACUCAUUUUUACAAAUGAGGAAACCGAGAUCAGAAGAGAGUGAAUUGCCCAAACCUACCCUGCCAGUAAAUGGUAGAGUCCAAACUCUGAAUCCAGGUCUUCUGACCCAAAGCCCAAAGUUCCUCCCCAAAUAUGAGCAUUAAAAAGAUAAUCACCUUCAAUAAGACAUGGUAAGAUGGACUGUCCUUGUUAGUAAACAGCACAGAAUGCCGAGUUCUAAAGAGCUUUCUAAGCUCUUACAUUUUUACAGCAUCCCAUGGGGGAGCUUACUGUGCAGCCCUCGUUGAGAAAUGUCAGAAAAGACACGUAAUACCAUGAAGGUAAAUCCCCAAAUCUGCUGGACUUUCCAUAUUCACAUCCUAGCUCUACAGGGGUAAGGACUGACUGAGUAGAUCUUCUCCCAACUCAUGCAGGAGAUGGGGAUGAAGUCAAUAAAUUCGUGCACAUUUGCAUAAACACAUAUAUCCAUCCCUUCUCCCAUCACGUCUACUAUUGUAACUUUUGACCAUAUCAGAAGUAUUUAUUAAAAGCUUAAUAGGUACCAGGUCCUGUGUUAAACCCUAGAAAUACAGAUAGAAACAGAGACUUUACAUCUAAUUAGGGAAGGUAAGUAAAAGGAACUUGGAAAAGAGGAGGGGAAGGAGUAGGGCAUUAUAGAGAAGUCAAGGAAGAAACUUAGGAGUCCAACCUAGAGAGGAAAGAAGACAGUGGUCCAAGUGUCCUUCAAAUGAAGCUUCUGGAACAUAACAGUUAAAAUUAAGGUAGCCUGAGGCACAAAGGUCCUAGUAUAAUCAAUUUAUUGAUUACCAAGAAAUAGGAUCUCAGCUUCCCUAGCAAAGUUAAGACUCUGAAUGGGGGAGAGGAGGAAAUAGCUGUCUUACCAUUUUAGGGAGUUCAAAAAUUAGGAAGGGUAGCAUCAUAGGUGGAAGAAAAUAUGGAAAUUUUUGAGGGUGGAAAUUGGAAAUGAGAGCUAGUAACAGCCUGCUCCUUCCCUCUUGUGACUAAGAAAUGGUCAUUGUUUGAGACCGGCUGCAUCUGCAAGGACAGAGAUAACAAACCAUACUUCUUUGGAUAAUAAGACAGACAUCGCUGAAGGUCAGCUUGGUGAUAAGAAGAUACUAGACCAGAUUGCCUGAUGUCCAUCUCUCUAUCUAAGGAUAACUAACUGAUUUCCUUGACAAAAGAACAGUGAUUAACAAGGAAAUGGAAUUUCCGAACUUAAAUCAUUACAUAUAGGACACUGAAUUUCUGAACUAAGAGACAAUCAAUUGAUUUAAACAGUUACAGGACAAAGUCAAUUAAUUGUAAAUAGGAUCAACAUCCUCCUUCCUCCAGCAAUUUUUUCAGGAGGAGCCAGCUAAUUAAAGAGAAGGGGCUGAGGGGCGAGAGAUACUUCCAAUGUUUUCAAACUUCCAGAAAAAAAAUUAGGAAUCAGACUGUUCCGGAAGCUAAGUGAUAUUAACUUCAUUGCAAAGUUUUGUCUUCUUUAGUCAUCAUUUCCCAGCAGUUGCUGCAGAAUAAAGGCACAAAGAUUCAGGUCAUACAUAAACCGCUUUGCUGCUUUCAAAAUGGAUCAGACCAUAUGUUAAUCCUGGUGAAUGCAUAUCAGU